rnacentral:tRNA from 1 species
GUGGGGGUGCCGGAGCGGUCAAACGGGCACGGUUCAGGGCCGUGUAGCUUAGUGCUUACAAGGGUUCAAAUCCCUUCCCCCACA